rnacentral:snoRNA from 1 species
AAGGUGAUAUAUUCAAGGAUCAUUUCUAUAGUUUGUUAUUAGAGAAGUUUCUCUGAUUGUAUAGAGCACCAGAAACCGUGAAGAGGAGGCAUAGUAUUCCUUCCUGGGCCUGAAGCUGCCCUUUGGUGUUGUUUUGCUAUUAAUGCCACUUGCCAUUGAUGAUUAUUCUUACUUUUUCCUUGGAGGGAGCAAGAGGGAAGGAACACAGUCAAUCAGA